rnacentral:rRNA from 1 species
UACAGAGGGUGCGAGCGUUAAUCGGAAUUACUGGGCGUAAAGCGCACGUAGGCGGCUUGGUAUGUCGGGUGUGAAAUCCCCGGGCUCAACCUGGGAACUGCAUCCGAAACUGCCUUGCUCGAGUAUGGGAGAGGGAAGUGGAAUUUCCGGUGUAGCGGUGAAAUGCGUAGAGAUCGGGAGGAACAUCAGUGGCGAAGGCGGCCAUCUGGGACAACACUGACGCUGAAGCACGAAAGCGUGGGGAGCAAACAGG